rnacentral:rRNA from 1 species
CCUAAAACAUGCAAGUCGAUCGGAGCCUUCGGGCUCCGAGGCGAACGGCGGAGUAACAGAGUGAACAACGUGCCCUAAAGACCGGGAAGGUCCGUGGAAACGCUGGGUAACAGACGGAUGUGGAAGUUUCUCGGCAUCGAGAGACUUUUAAAUGGUUUUUCGCUUUAGGAGCGGUUCCGAGCCUAUCCGGUAGUUGGUGGGGUGAAGGCCUACCUUCAAAGACGACGGGUAGCGGGUCUGAGAGGAUGACCCGCUCGAGUGGGACUUAUAGGGAGCCCACACACCUACGGGUGGCCGCCGUUGGGAAUCUUGCACAAUGGGGGAAACCCUGAUGCCGCGACGCCGCGUGGAGGAUGACGGGUCUAGGCCUGUAAACUCCUUUUACCCGGAAAGACUUAGGACGGUACCUGGUGAAUAAGCACCGGCUAACUACGUGCCCGCCGCCGCGGUAAGACGUAGGGUGCAAGCGUUGUCCGGAUUUACUGGGCGUAAAGGGCGCGUAGGCGGCUCGUUAAGUGUGAAGUGAAAUCCCUAGGGCUCAACCCCGGAACUGCUUCCACAGAUGGUGGGCUUGAGGAUCGAAGAGGCUUGUGGAAUUCCUGGUGUAGCGGUGAAAUGCGUUGAAGUCCGGAGGAACACCCAUGGCGAAGGCCGCAAGCUGGUCGAUUCCUGACGCUGAGGCGCGAAAGCGUGGGUAGCAAACCGGAUUAGAA